GGACAUAUUGACACUACAACAAAAUUGAAAUAAUACAAAGAAGAUUAGCAUGACCCAUGUGCAAGGGGAUGACAUGCACAAAUAGAGAAAUGAUCCAAAUGUUU